ACAGCAGUCGCCACGGUAAUACAGAGGAUGCAAGCGUUAUCCGGAAUUAUUGGGCGUAAAGGGCUCGCAGGCGGUUUCUUAAGUCUGAUGUGAAAGCCCCCGGCUCAACCGGGGAGGGUCAUUGGAAACUGGAAAACUUGAGUGCAGAAGAGGAGAGUGGAAUUCCACGUGUAGCGGUGAAAUGCGUAGAGAUGUGGAGGAACACCAGUGGCGAAGGCGACUCUCUGGUCUGUGACUGACGCUGAGGAGCGAAAGCGUGGGGAGCGAACAGGAUUAGAUACCCCAGUAGUCCCUGUCUCUUAUAC
rnacentral:rRNA from 1 species